GCGGGCAGGCGGGCGGCGGGCAGGCGGGCGAGCGAGACGUGCCUCCAGCUCCCCAGCAGCUCCGCAGCCCGUCUAUCCCGCCGUAGCGCCCGGCCGCACUUACCUUUACGGCCGCGGUGGCAGCCAUGUUCGCGCAGCGGCGGGCUUUUCCGGCCCGGGGGCGCUGCGGGGCGCCGGCAGGCUGUGGGCGCGGGUCGGGGAGUGCGCUGUGUCAGCUGUGAUAGUCAAAGCGCUGCCGUUCAUUAGGAGAUACUUCCUUUCCGGGAAUACACACUGAGAUUCAGCAAGGCCGAAGGCAGGCAGCUGCACUUGUGUGAAGGCAGCCCCAGAUUUAUGUGUAGACUGAGGGCAGCCCUGCGGGGAAACACUGGAGGUGAUGGACAGAAAGUUGCACGCGUACCAGCAGCGUGCUCUGGCAGCCGGAAGCCCUUGGGCUGCACCAAAGCGGGGUGUGGGGGGGAACUGUACCCACUGCUGUGCCCUCCUGAGGCCCCACUCGGAGUACUGCUUCCAGGCAUGGGGCCCCCAGCACAAGAAGGAUGUGGAGCUGCUGCAGCGGCCCAGAGGCAAGCCGCAAAGAUAAUCAAAGAUGUGGCUGGAGAUGUGCUGUGAAGAAAGGCUGAGGGAGCUGGGCUUGUUCAGCCUGGGGAAGAGGAGGCUCUGGGGGGACCUGUUGUGUGGCAGCCAGCCCAUGGAAGACGGGUUGGAACUGCGUGGGCUUUUUGGUUCCUUUCAACCUAAGCCAUUCUGUGAAAUGACAAAGCAAGACCACGUAUUCCACCUCUAACUUAAUUUUAAUUUAUAUGAUUUGCUAAUACGUUAAAGAGAUUUGUUUUCAGUUAAGAAGUAAUCCAUUUACAGGUUCAAUAUGGUUUAAUCCAAAUCUGGUUGUUUCUGAUACCUGGAAAUGAUUUGGGGAGCAAAUUUGAGCAUGUUAUGAAAAGGAAAUUGUGUUUUGUUUUCUCUGCAAUAUCGUAAGUACACGCUUAGCUCUCAAAGCUAAAUAUAGCUUUAAGUAAUUUGAAAGGUGCAUAAUCAUCAUAUAUUAUGUAGGUCACUCAUAGCAGUGCCUCUUUUUUGUUUCCACGGAAGCUACAACAGAUACAAAGAGCACAACUACACUGUUCGAUAGAGCAAAUUCUCAUAUACAGAACACUAGUUUUCAACAUAGUCUCCACCAUUAGCUGUGCAUUUUUGCUAGCAGUUAACAAGAUCCUGAAUGCCAUGUCUGUAAAAAUCUCUGUCAGUGGAGGUGACCUAACUGUUGUUGUUGCCACUGCUGAAACUCUCCACUCACUGCUGUACUGUGCUCACAUCCACUGUUUGGUCUCCAUAAAUAAUUAUCAUGCUUAGGAAUGUCAGUGGGUGCUGGUUUAUUGCUGUGUGGAGGGAUUCACUUAAGCGCUUCUGCUUCAUAGACAUUUUUAAGUCAGAUGCCGUUCUGUCAGACUGCCCCUCUGCUGCCAUCUGUCACAUGGCCACAAAAUGUAAUGUAAUAUUGGUGGGAAGGUUCGUCCUCUGCUGCUGUACCACCAGCACUGACCUUUGACACUGUGGGCCAACGUAAUAAAAUAGAAGGCAUUAUUUUUCGAGCAGCCCUUGUAGUAAUUACUGUUUUCAUAUUUAUGGUAUUUUUCUUGUUGCUGCAAAUCUGCAUUUGCAAGCAGAACACUUCAGUAUAGCAUAUAAUCUUGCAUGUUGAGAAAUAUCAAUUGUUUUGAUGUAUUUAUGGUUCUAUUAACAUAGGUAUAAAUAUCAGGUGUAGAGAUUUCAAAAAAUAUCUUGUUAAUUAGAGGUUCUUCUAAAGAGUAUUUGUUAUGUAUUUUCUUUAAAACAGCUUCAUCUACCAGAGAUGACUCAGACAUCCAGACAUGUUCUCCUAGGUGCUACCUACAUAAAAAAAAUGUAAUGUAUCUGCUAAUAAGUGUAAACUCAGGUACAACACUGACAGUAAGUUCUGCUUUGUGUUGCAGCUGAGAUGUCUGCUGCAAUCACCCAUCACUCAAGGCCGGCUUGGAUGGUACCCUGGGCAACCUUAUCUAUUGCCAGAUUUAGUGUUUGGCAGCCCUUCCUGUGGCAAGGGAGUCGGAACUUGAUAAUUUUUGAGGUCCCUUACAACUCAAGCCAUUCUGUGAUCUGUGAGGCAGUUCAUGGGAAGAGAGAAGGAUACUCCCUCUCACUAAGGCAUUAGCAGCUAGUGCUGAGAUUGUUUCAGCUGGAAUUUACACUCCUAUUCUUAUCUUCGGUACAUAAAAGACUUCCAGUUGUCACAGAUGCUGAAAACUUUUCACUGCAGUUCAAAACGUAAGAUUGUACUUAUGAGAAAUAUAGCUUGGAAAAAUGUAAUUUAAACAAAGGCAGAAGGAAGGAGGUGCUGCAUGCUAACUUUCUCAGUACAGCACAGUGUAGCUGUCAUACCAUAGAAAAACAGGAUAAAUGUUACUCUUACUCAUUCUAAUUUGGCCAGUCUAUUGAAGCUCUAUACUCGACUUUUCUUUCACUGCACGCAGUAUUAUACUGAUGAUUUCUGGCAAUUCUUCCUGUCUAAUUCCAGUACAAUUUUCCUCUUUGACUUCCUUGCAAAAAGCUUUAUUAGUUGUGUCGCAGUACUCAUCUUUUACUACUACUUGCAACCCCUUUGUUUUUCUGCUUUAUGUUUUGUGCUUUAUGAAUAUGAAUGCUCACUUUGUUUAUAAAUAGAUAGUAUAUAUUAUAUAUAUUAUAAAUAUAGAGUAUAUGAAAAUACUCACAAUUCGGACCCAGGGACCACAAGUUAAGGAGACUUUUCCUACUUCCAUUUACACCAGUUAUUUCUGCACAGACAGUUGCCAUGAAUGUUUGGUGCUGUACUUUCCCCAGAAGGUACCAGCUUUGCAGUUUCAUGCUUAGGGAUUUUCUGUACUGUGUGUGUUCUGUGGGAGUGAUACUAUAUAAAGCUCUGUAUGUAGCCUGUGCAAAUCAGAACAGCAAGCAGAAAACCCUGCUCAUGGUGAGUUGGUAAUGACACAUAUACGUAGAAAAUUUUGGAAGCUCAAAAGGAGAAUUACUCUAUGCAGUCUUGGAAGGUGUCUAGUGUGAGCUAUUGUUUUGGCACAUUCUAAAUGGUGAGGGAGAGCUUAAUUCAGAAUCAGUAAACAUCUGAAGCACUGUGUUCUUCCAGACAAAUUAAGUACUUUAUCAAAUAUAAUGCAGUGCUCAUUUGAAUUUAGCAGUUAACAAUCUUGGCAAGGAAAACCUGUGUAAAUAUGACAUUUUGCACUACUUCCAGUCAGCGUGCUGUAAACCAACAGUUAGUGCAUUCCCAUUAUUCACAUUGGCUGAUAACCUAGGUCGAGCCUUCAAAGUUAUUUAACUCUUCAACAGCAGGUAGGAAAAGUGCUUUGUGAAACACACAUUUGUAAGUGCUUUCCCUUCUGUUGGCAAUGUACUUUUGGUAAUUCAGUUUUGAAUAUUUUAAAAUCUUGUUACAGGAUGAAGAGAUGGAAUCCAGUCCAGUGACUAUUUAUCAGUACACAAUAAUUUAGAGUAUCUUGAGCUAGCACUUAUUACUGUUAGUAGUCGACUAUCUACAGCAGCCAUUUGUGAUUAAAGCAGUUAAUAAAACAUUGCCCAUCAAAAACAACAAUGUAUUAUUCAGGAAAACGUCACGUUUAGGCAAAGGCAGAGUUUUCAAGGCUACAGGAUUGCUAGGGAGAUUACAGUUUCAGCUCUCAAUUCCAUUUAUGACAUAGAACUGCUUGAAAUGAAAUGAAAGCUCUGCAUUCUCCCACAGGGUGCACUUAUUAUCUAAAUGAUGGAAAGCAAAUCCAUUAUUAUUAUUAUUCUUUUUUCUGAAUAGAAGUAUACCACCUAUUGGAUUUCCAAUCCAGUUUUACAAAUACAAAAUAAGUGUAAAAUGCCUUAGAUGCUCAGAUUAAGGCUCUUCAGACCUGCAUGUAAUGUUUCUUUUUUUUAUGCCUCUGAAGGUCUACAGGCAGUAAAUACUUGAAAACCGUGUUGUUAGUAGCACUAUUGUUUAGGUCUGACAGCUUGCGGUUUUGGCCCUAUGCUUCACUGAGUUUUUAAAUCUUGGUCAAAUUAAAUAGUGCAUUCUUUCCUUAGUGUAAUAAGUACUGAAAUUACGCCAAUGCUAUUUUAUUUAGUUAAAAAUAGAAGUCAGUCUGCAUAUAAGAAAAUAAUCAUUCACUGUGUGAGCCAAGUUUAAGUCUCUUCCAAGUCCUCGGUACCAGUGGUGGCCAGCCAGUAGAGUGUCUGCCCUGGGACUUCCCCCAGCUCAUGCUGGUGGUGUCUGGCUGGCAAGAUGCCACAGCAGUCCCUUAGUACGCAGCCGUUACGUAACAGCAGGACAAUAAAGCAUUGAGCGUCAGGAUAAGCAAGGUUCAUUCAGGGAGGCCAAGAAUACUUACUGCUGCUGAGUAGUUUCUCGUAAAGAAGUCUCCUCUAGCUACACGCUGAGGGCAGACCCAAGCUAACACAAACCAUUUCUCAGAAGCUAUUUAUCUGUUCAUGCCAUGAAUGGUAUUUUUCCAUACAAAGGGGUGCCUGGAUUAACUAGAUUUCAUUUGUGAAAGUUGUUUGAAGAUGAAAAGCACUGUAUCAAGGUAAAAGGUCUUAUUUCUAAUUACAAUGAAAGUUGCUGUAAAGAAAUACUAGUACUGUGUAUACAUAGCUGAGCUUUGAAUUGGUUUAGCGGACAGUUACUUCAAAGAAACAACAUCCAUGAUAAAGAGGGGGGAAAAUAAAGGCUCAGGCAAGUCAGGGUUACCUUCCACAUUCAUUCAUGCAGAUCUCAGCAUCAGAGGUUCCCAUUACACUGUAGACUUGGUUGUUUCUGUUCUGCAGAUUCACACACUUUAUUCCAGCAGUGAUGGACAUUAAUAACACAUUGAAAACAACAACAAAACUUUCACUCUGUGGUUCUAUAGCAUCCAAGACUUGAAACAGAGGAAGCGUAUAUUUGCCAGAAGUUCUUACUACAGAACUGGUUGGAGCUGGCACACUGUAUCAAAUUUUCUUUUAUUUUGUCUUCUGGAAACAGUUUGUUGGACCCAGUCCCCCCAAAAAUCAUUUAAGACUUCAUCUGACUUCAGAGAAAAAUGAUUUUAGGUGUUCAUUGUCAGAACAAAUGACUUUUAACCUUCAAUAACUUGAAGGCUAUUGUAUGGAUGUAUCCAAGCAUCUUGAUCAGGAGUAUCUGAAAACCUUUUUUUCCAGCUGUUAGUUACUGUGAGUUUGUUGCCUCUACAGCUGUCCUGUGGGGAAGGAAGCUCUGUGAACUCAUAAAACCAUGCCUGCAAUAGGCUAGCAGGGAAAAUUCAAGCAAUCUUUAUCAGUAGCUGAAAAUGUCUGUGUUUAUACUGGCUCUCCUGUGGGACAGUAACAGUUUACAUUGCUUCUUUCAUUUGCAAAAUGAAUGCUUGUCUUUUCCCUAAUUUGCAACAAAUUGGCUUGUUUUCCAGGGGCUGUUUCAGCAACCAUCAAGAAUCUGGCUUCAUGAGCUUUAAAGCUAUUCAGUGUUUCUUGUUCUCUAACCUUAGUGAGGGGAAGAUUGCAAAGUCCACAGGCACAGCAACUCUGCCACUUCUUUUGGAGGUGGAAGGAGGAAAUUUUUUCCAGUUUACAAGUAAUUUACUGAGUUAUUAUUUUGAAAAGCUUCCAUGCAAAUAAAUGCACUCUGGAUGAGAUUAGGUAUCUAAAAUCUACUACAAGAUAAGAUGAUUGGGUUCAGAGCCUUGACAUUUUAAGUUAGUAACACAAGUACCUUCAGAAAGGGAAAUUCACACUGUAAUUUAGCAGUCAUGCUUUUCUUCACAACUGCAUUGUAUGGCCUUAAUGUCCCAAGCUGAGCCUUGCUCUUUGUUGUUGCCACAGACACAGAGAGGAACCCAAGAUGAUGCUGAGAAUGAUUAGAGAACAUGAAUAUUACCUCAAUUAACGCUUUUGAGAAACAUUCUCAUCCAACAAGUUGGACUCUGGCAAGGAUGUUAGUGAAGCAGCAUCUUUAUCUUUUGUUUCUGUUUUUCCUCUUCCCUUCUAACAUACACUUUCUGUCCCUCAACAGAUUCUCUAGCAAUUGUUCAUGCCACAUUUUUCUUUUCUAAAGCCUCUUUUGUAUAUCUGGCUAGGACUUAGCUACAAAGUCAACCUUCAAUAUCCCCUGCACUGCUUCCUGAACUGCUAGGAUUAUUAUUUAUCAUAAAUCCUUCCUACAUCCCCUUUCAUCUUCAUUGUUGUUGUCCCAUUCUGGGUCUGUUAUUGGAUAUUUUACUUGUUAUAGGAGAGCUUCUGGACCUGGAAGGUGCCUUUUCUCCCACUCGUACUUUGAAGCUUUCCUAAUCAUUCUUAUUUCUUCUCCAUUAGACAGCAUACUUAAAAUAGAGAUUGUCUCACCCCAAGAGUAAAUACUGGGCCCCAGAAAUUGAUUGAAUUGCUCUGCUAGCCCAAUGGGGUCUUCCAUUAAGGAUUUCACUUCCUUCAUAAUGCUUCUCACCUCUCCAUUAGUAAGGGAAGACUUUACGUACCCUAUGUCUCCUGUUACUGGAACUUCCCUAAGAGGAUACAUAGAAGUGCUAGUAGGGUUAGUUUUGGGAAAGGGGAGAUUUAUACGAUCCUUUUUGCAUUGCUCUACUUUCUUCCUAACCUGAUAGAACUUCUUCUUUCAAGCUGGGGUACCAAUUACAGAGUUGUGGCCGUGUGGACUGGCAAGGGAGUGGUCAGAACCAAUAUACUCUGUUCCAUUGGCAGUCUCUGAUUUCCCUUCUAUAGUUACAGGAAUAGGUUCAGUGUCAGGAUUAUAAGGGGGAGGAUGCUGCUCAAAAGGAGAAAAUUGUAGAGAUCUAAUUCUGGAUACAGGUACUGGAGGAAGUAAAUUAUCUAAGGGAUCCCAUCUGGAAUUUUUCUGCUCCUCCUUUUGUACAGAAGUCUACUGAGUUAUGAUAAACUGUUUUGUCUCCCACACUCAGCAAGCAAUAUAAGCUGAUCCUUCCUCUUAAAAAGGAGUUUUACUGUUCACAUACAAGUUUAAAGCCUGACAUGCCAAUCUUUGUCAGACCCGUACUCUGGCCAGAACACUGACACUCCUUUAAUUGCCCAUUAGCCCAUUCAAGAAUAAAAUAUAAAAUCAUUUUCUCUUUA